GUACCCUUGCCCUCCACGCGCGAGCAGUGGGCUGCGUUCUUGGGCGAGAGGGAGAGUGAACAAGGCUUCUACCAUACCUCACUGGCUAGCGUGGGAAGCAUCUGAGCACAAAUGUGGAUCACUGAAGACAGUACUGGAAGCGCCAUUUGCAGGUAACCACACCUCUGAAACAGGACACACUUGGUGCUAAAGCCAGCACAAGCCCAACAAGCCAAUUCUAUUGUGUAAAAGAACUCUUAAAACUCAAAGAUAAGAAAACAAAGAAUUUAAGAAUGGGCAAAAGAUCUCAACAAAGAUAUACUGAUGGCAAAAAAGCAUAUGAAAAGACACUUAACAUCAUAUGUCAUUCGGGAACUGCAAAUCAAAACAAUGAUGCCCCUACACAUCUAUUAAAAUGGCUAAAAUCCAAAACACUGACAAUACCAAACACUGUGGUUAAGAAUCCGCCUGCCAAUGCAGGGAACACAGGUUCGAGCCCUGGUCCGGGAAGAUCCCACAUGCCGUGGAGCAACUAAGCCCAUGCGCCACAACUACUGAGCCUGCGCUCUAGAACCCGCAAGCCACAACUACUGAGCCCGCGUGCCACAACUACUGAAGCCCACGCGCCUAGAGCCCAUGCUCCGCAACAAGAGAGGACACCGCAAUGAGAAGCCCGCACACCACAACAAAGAGUAGCCCCGGCUCGCCCCAACUAGAGAAAGCCCGCACGCAGCAACAAAGACCCAACGCAGCCAAAAAUAAAUUUAAAUAAAUAAAUAA